rnacentral:rRNA from 1 species
CCUACGGGGGGCUGCAGUGGGGAAUAUUGGACAAUGGGGGGAACCCUGAUCCAGCCAUGCCGCGUGUGUGAAGAAGGCCCUCGGGUUGUAAAGCACUUUCAGUGAGGAAGAACGCCUGGUGGUGAAUACCCAUCAGGAAAGACAUCACUCACAGAAGAAGCACCGGCUAACUCCGUGCCAGCAGCCGCGGUAAUACGGAGGGUGCGAGCGUUAAUCGGAAUUACUGGGCGUAAAGCGCGCGUAGGUGGCUUGAUAAGCCGGUUGUGAAAGCCCCGGGCUCAACCUGGGAACGGCAUCCGGAACUGUCAAGCUAGAGUGCAGGAGAGGAAGGUAGAAUUCCCGGUGUAGCGGUGAAAUGCGUAGAGAUCGGGAGGAAUACCAGUGGCGAAGGCGGCCUUCUGGACUGACACUGACACUGAGGUGCGAAAGCGUGGGUAGCAAACAGGAUUAGAUACCCUGGUAGUC